rnacentral:lncRNA from 1 species
GAUGUCUUAUUAUUUAUUUUUGAAACAAAAAGUUAUCAUUUACGAACAAGAACCUAUAAAUAACCUUCCUAAACAAGUUAGCACGGUUAGCAAAUUAAAUUUCGAACUAUUCGUAUCUUACUAUCACAAUGGUGAAACACCUCAAUGUAGUAGCGUUGAUGAGAUUUGCAGAGUGUAGACGGGCCCGUGCUACGCGUAUCUCCGAUGUUGAAACUGUCUGGCGUACCGUUAAGGCACGCGACUCGCACCUGCCCGAAUUAAUUAUGUUUUUGGGCCUUUCUUGUCUUGAGGCAGGUGCCGGCUCAGCCCUGGUGCAAGAUACGUCAUAGCGCAUAAUUGGACUAAAAGAUGGAGAUAACACGGCGAAACUGGCUCGAAAGAAAAUAAAAUUUACGACAAAAGUACGCCGUUUCGCGAUCCGAUGUUAUGUUGUAAGCCAUUGGAGAUAAAGAUUACAUUUCUUAUUCGACAAGGAA